AAGUUUGACGCAGAAGAAAUCUCUUGUUCAGCAUGCCAUACUUAGCACAUGAGCAUUGCAAAUUUACCUAAGCUAGUGAAGUAAAUAGGAAGAUGCUUUAGUACCUCCAGAAAGUCUUCCUCCUGGGUGGUUUGCUUGAGUUGAUAUAUGUAAACAAGAAAAGGUUUAGGAACAGGGAGAGUGACAUGAGAAUCAAUGCAUUCAGAUUCUGUUACACGUGUACUGUUUCCAUAGGAUACUGCAAAGGAAGUAGUGGAGUCUAGCAUCAUGAAAACAGGAAAAAAAAGAAAGAGAAAGCUUCAGCUGAAGACCAAGUAAAAGUAAAGAUGGAUAGGUGAAUAAAAUGACAAGUCAGCAUGAAAAGCAAGCGCUGACAAGGAAGGUACCUUGGCAUGUGGUCUUGGACAGCACAUCCUGUGCAGAAGGGGCAGCAUGGAAGGUGAUGCUGAGGCACCUGUAUGGCUUUGAAGAAGGAGACAGGACAUAAGGACAGAUUGGAAUGCACACGGCCAGUAUGAUGUGAGUUCAAAAUGUGGGCUUGCUGUGAAGGGGCCAGAAUUAGUUUCAAAUGACAUCAUUUUAAUUACCGAUUAUAUUUAGAAUAUGUGGUAAUAUCGUCUGAGACCUUACACAUGUUAAUUCUGCAAAUUGCAGUAUGUAUCUACAGCUUGUGAAAGCAAAUCUACCUAGGAAUAUUU
rnacentral:lncRNA from 1 species